UCAAAAGUUGAACAAACAGAAAUUAGAGCUCCGUCACCCCGCACCAAUUGACCGGUCACCGCUGCUGCGUCGCCGUGCCUGUUUGCUCCUCUGUCGCUGCGCUGCCGCUGCUGCCACGAAUCCGCCAUCGCGAAUCCACCGCCGUCGGCUCCUCCUUGCAUCAUCUCCUCUCUCUCGGAUCUGCCGCCACCGCGGAUCCGCCUCCGUCGCCCAGCCACCAUCCAAGCCGCCAUCGCCGUCAAACGCUGGGAGACGCUGCUGCUGGCCGCGUCCAUGCCCUCUGCGGUCGCCACGGGUCUGCUCGCUGUUCGAACAGCCCCGAAACGACACCGCGCAGCCCCGAAACCAAUCCGAACCAACCGCAAUGUUACGAGAUGCACAAAAUUGAGGCUAUUAUAGAGGAAUUGAGGUACCUUUGGAGAGGAGAAAUUGUCUAGCAGCAAAAGGAAUUGUAUUCACGGCAGUUUGGUUGUUUGUUUUUUUCCUUCCUCUCAAACUGUGAUGUCAAGCAAAUUGUGGCAGUAGUUAGUAGAUUGCGAUUUUGCACUCGCCGAUCAUUCAAAGAUUUGGAAUUGAAUUUGAAGGGGUUAUACCUUUUGUUUGAUCGAGCA